GUCCUGGACCAUGGCGGACCGCAGUAAAAUGCAACACCUGCAGUAAGGAGGUUUGGUGCGAGGGAGGAAGCGGCUCCAACAUGACGAAGCAUUUACCUCAACACGGCGUGAAUCUGAAGGAACGCACCGUGUUCGAUGUGCCGCUCUCUCCCAGCUACAACGACGCCCCGCAUACAGCUAACGCUAACAGUAGCAACGUCUCAGAUCAGUCCUCAGAGACGCCCCUACAGUACAGAGACUCCUUUCACUUUAGCCAUGAAGGGGAAGAUGAAUAAGGAGGAAGAGGAUGAAGGUCACCGAGUGCUGACGAGAUCUGUGGUGAAGGAACCAGAACUGAGAAACAAUACCUAAUUCUUAGCCUAGCUUACCAUAAAGACUGGCAGUAGAGGGAAACAGCUACUCUAGCUCUGUCCAACAUUAGCACUUUAAAGUUUGCUAAUUAACACAACAUAUCUUGUUUGUUUCAUCUGUACAUAAACAAAAAUGUAACUAUUUACCAAAAUGCUGAGCCAUUCCUUCGAUGGUUGGAGUCUUUAUUUUGACUCAGUGCAGCAUGGGGUUAGAAUUGAAUUUGGACUGGGGGAGUAACACAACACUACUGGCAUUACCUUAAUAAAGUUCAUAAAACUGAAAUGUUACUGUCAGACAGUGCUGGUUGCUUAUGAAACAAACAAGAGACAGACACAUGUUAGCAACGUCUGCAGAUGAACUCUUUACACACUUACAUGCAACACAGGAAACUGUCAGUUCACCAGCCACCACUUUAUUAAAACUGACUUUAUUUAACGUGUAA